AUCGCUUCUUGGCCUUUUUGCUAAGAUCAAGUGUAGUAUUUGUACAAACCUUCUGUACUUAAAGGAUAUAGUUUUUAUAACAAGCCGAGUUUGGAACAUGGCUCCAUAUCUACGUAACUCUGUAGAAAUCAGUUUACUUCCAUCUUAAAUAUGCCUUAUUCUUU
rnacentral:snRNA from 1 species